CCUUAGUGGUAUAGAAUAAUACUAGAAGAGAAUGCUGAUAUUUAUGCUCUCAAUAUCAUUAAGAGAAGAUUCAACUUAGAGGUUAAAGAUGUAAAUUACUCUGAUAGAGAAUAUUAUAAGUAUACAUAUCAAAGUGUGGAUGCUAGCUACAAAGAUUUGCAAGCAGAGCACCAAUAGCUAAGAUGGGAAUAUAAUUUAUUAAGGAAUAAGCAUCAGAGA
rnacentral:lncRNA from 1 species